rnacentral:misc_RNA from 1 species
UGAUUAUAAACCUUUGCAGUUUUUGGCUUUUGCAUUUGUAUAUCGAAUUUUUGAAAAGUUAAAAGCCUUCGAACCACCUGUAUCACCAACAUAUACAGAAGAUGGUGAAGAUGAUGGGCGGGCACUACGAAUGGGAAAACGACUUCUUCGUUCUCUUGCACUAGUUUUUGGCUGUAUUGCUUUUGCCUCUCUGGCAUACACUGGUAUUUUGAAUUUGAUCGAGUUUCUUGGCAGCUAUAUACCUGUUUUCCUUUACAACAAUCAGGAACUGUUAGUCAC